UACGUAGGGUGCGAGCGUUAAUCGGAAUUAUUGGGCGUAAAGGGCGCGUAGGCGGCUUCAUAAGUCAAAGGUGAAAUCCCUCGGCUCAACUGAGGAACUGCCUUUGAAACUGUGAGGCUUGAGGCCGGGAGGGGGUAGCGGAAUUCCCAAUGUAGCGGUGAAAUGCGUAGAUAUUGGGAGGAACACCAGUGGCGAAGGCGGCUACCUGGACCGGUUCUGACGCUGAUGCGCGAAAGCGUGGGUAGCAAACAGG
rnacentral:rRNA from 1 species